rnacentral:tmRNA from 1 species
GGGGGCGUACAGGUUUCGACGUGAGCGGACUGCGUCCUGUGAGACGAGCCGAGUUUGCUGGAGACUCGUAAAACGCCGGCACGUAAACAUACACGCCACUGACGAAAUGGCUAUAGCUGCUUAAAUAAAAGCAGCUCAUCGGCCCGGGCAGCCUACGGCCCGGUUCCCGGUGUCAUCUUAGUAGGCUCGACCCGUUGGGCUCCUGCCCGGAGUUCAUCGGGGAAACACUAAAGGGCUAGUUCUGCGGCGGCGCCCCGGUCCGUCGCGGUAGACGAAACUAAACUGGGAGCUACGCUCGUAGAAUCUCACGGACGGCGCGCUCGCGGACGCGGGUUCGAUUCCCGCCGCCUCCACUU